CUAAGCGUACACGGUGGAUGCCCUGGCAGUCAGAGGCGAUGAAGGGCGUGCUAAUCUGCGAUAAGCGCCGGUAAGGUGAUAUGAACCGUUAUAACCGGCGAUACCCGAAUGGGGAAACCCAGUGUGACUCGUCACACUAUCAUUAACUGAAUCCAUAGGUUAAUGAGGCGAACCGGGGGAACUGAAACAUCUAAGUACCCCGAGGAAAAGAAAUCAACCGAGAUUCCCCCAGUAGCGGCGAGCGAACGGGGAGGAGCCCAGAGCCUGAAUCAGCAUGUGUGUUAGUGGAAGCGUCUGGAAAGGCGCGCGAUACAGGGUGACAGCCCCGUACACAAAAGCGCAUGUGCUGUGAGCUCGAUGAGUAGGGCGGGACACGUGGUAUCCUGUCUGAAUAUGGGGGGACCAUCCUCCAAGGCUAAAUACUCCUGACUGACCGAUAGUGAACCAGUACCGUGAGGGAAAGGCGAAAAGAACCCCGGCGAGGGGAGUGAAAAAGAACCUGAAACCGU
rnacentral:rRNA from 1 species